rnacentral:rRNA from 1 species
GAUGAACGCUGGCGGCGUGCUUAACACAUGCAAGUCGAACGGAAGGGCUCCUGCUUGCAGGGGUACUCGAGUGGCGAACGGGUGAGUAACACGUGGGUGAUCUGCCCUGCACUUCGGGAUAAGCCUGGGAAACUGGGUCUAAUACCGGAUAGGACCACAUUUUGGAUGGUGUGGUGGAAAGUUUUUCGGUGUGGGAUGAGCUCGCGGCCUAUCAGCUUGUUGGUGGGGUAAUGGCCUACCAAGGCGUCGACGGGUAGCCGGCCUGAGAGGGUGUACGGCCACAUUGGGACUGAGAUACGGCCCAGACUCCUACGGGAGGCAGCAGUGGGGAAUAUUGCACAAUGGGCGCAAGCCUGAUGCAGCGACGCCGCGUGGGGGAUGACGGCCUUCGGGUUGUAAACUCCUUUCGCUAGGGACGAAGCGCAAGUGACGGUACCUGGAGAAGAAGCACCGGCUAACUACGUG